UACAGAGGCCUUGAGCGUUAGGCGGAAUCACUGGGCUUAAAGCGUGUGUAGGCGGACUUCUAAGUGCCUUGUGAAAUCCCACGGCUCACCCGUGGAACUGCUGGGCAUACUGGGAGUCUUGAGCCACCUAGGGGCGAGCGGAACAAAUGGUGGAGCGGUGAAAUGCGUAGAUAUCAUUUGGAACGCCAACGGAGAAAUCAGCUCGCUGGGGGUGUGCUGACGCUGAGACACGAAAGCCAGGGGAGCGAACGGG
rnacentral:rRNA from 1 species